GACGAACGCUGGCGGCGUGCCUAAUCCAUGCCAGUAGGACGCAGUUGCGAACGGGUUAGUAACGCGUAGGUAACUACCUAUUAGAGGGGGAUAACUAUUGGAAACGAUAGCUAAUACCGCAUACUAGUAGAUGGACCUGCGUUGUAUUAGCUUGUAGGUUGGGUAAUGGCCUACCUAGGCAACGAUACAUCGCCGACCGGGGAGGGUGAGCGGCCACACGGGGAAUGGGACACGGCCCAGACUCCUAUGGUAGGCAGCAGGAGGGAAUCUUCGGCAAUGGGGGGAACCCUGACCGAGCAACGCCGCGUGAGUGAAGAAGGUUUUCGGAUCGUAAAGCUCGGUUGUUAAGGAAGCGGUACUUAACCAGAAAGGGACGGCUAACUACGUGCCAGCAGCCGCGGUAAUAC
rnacentral:rRNA from 1 species